CGUAUUGUGCAGAGGCAGUGUCGCACCCAAUGAGGCCUGGCCGAGGGGCGACUAUUGCUAGUUGAAAACUUUCAUAUUACCCGCUUACUUCUUUGCCCAGGGGGCAUCAUUGGUACCCGCCGCGGUGG
rnacentral:snRNA from 1 species